rnacentral:rRNA from 1 species
UACGUAGGGUGCGAGCGUUGUCCGGAAUUAUUGGGCGUAAAGGGCUCGUAGGCGGUUUGUCGCGUCGGGAGUGAAAACACUGGGCUUAACCGAGUGCUUGCUUUCGAUACGGGCAGACUUGAGGCAUUGAGGGGAGAACGGAAUUCCUGGUGUAGCGGUGAAAUGCGUAGAUAUCGGGAGGAACACCAGUGGCGAAGGCGGCAUCCUGGCCCUGUCCUGACGCUCAGGGGCGAAAGCGUGGGGAGCAAACCGG